CACACAGAACAAUAUAGAGGAGUACCCGCAGUUGAAGGGUUGGCUACCAGGUGAGUUCAGAUACCACGUGUGCCAGUAUGAAGAGGUGGUUUCACUGGGGGACCACACUGGUUUUGAGGCCACUUUGAGGCUGGAUGUCCACACUGUGGAACAGGUCAAGGAGUGGGUACAAAAGCUGAAGGGGUCAUCAGGGGUGACAUGGAGGGUGGAUGUUACCCGACCCAGGUUGGGGAAGCGGGUGCUUUUCAAAGCAAGUUAUAAGUGUCAGCAUAGGGUGAACCCGAGAGCAGCCAAAAGCAGCAAGAACACCUGCUGUCAAGCAAAAAUGCACACGACAC